rnacentral:rRNA from 1 species
UACGUGGGGUGCAAGCGUUGUCCGGAAUUAUUGGGCGUAAAGAGCUCGUAGGCGGUCUGUCACGUCGGCUGUGAAAUCCCGAGGCUCAACCUCGGGUCUGCAGUCGAUACGGGCAAACUAGAGUAUUGCAGGGGAGACUGGAAUUCCUGGUGUAGCGGUGAAAUGCGCAGAUAUCAGGAGGAACACCGGUGGCGAAGGCGGGUCUCUGGGCAAUAACUGACGCUGAGGAGCGAAAGCGUGGGGAGCGAACAGG